UUGGGUCUGCGCGAAGUAAGAAAAUUCGUUAUGUUUCUGAAUGGAGUUUGGAGUUUCUUCACGACCUCACACACGCGAUGAAAGGGUGUCUUCCCGGAAAACGCACCCGGAAGCAGAUGAAGUGGCUCACGACAGAUGGGGUUUCACACUUUCCUUUUUAACCGCUAACUGUAGAGUCAGCAUGAUGAUGUGAAAGACUCCUGUACAUGUAUGGCACGGAGGAAGGGCUGUCUGAUCCUCGAGUAAUGCUUCUUUAACAGAGUCUGAUCUACAGCUGAGCCUCCAUCCUCCUGCUUAGCCAUGCCGUUGGUGGUGGAUGCUGUGUGGGCGCUGUGGAGCAUCACAGCCGGCGUCUACGACUACUUCCACACCAGUGCCAUGGAGGAGAGGAUCCACACCCUGGAGAACGUCCUCUCCAUCCACCAGUUUGUGAUUGCAGGCCUGUCAGCAGGCCUCAUUCUGCUCAUGACCUACAUACUGUUGAGAAAACACUAAAACCGUCCUCACCUGAAGGAUGAGUGCCCACUAGAGGUCGUUUGCCUGAAGGAUGGCAUGUUUGGUGACAGUCAGGAUGUCCCAGAUGAAGUCGGGAGGACUGAUGGGCUCCUAAGUCUGACCAACAAAGCUCCACCGGGACAUGCUUUCUGAAACCUGGUGCACUUUGGGUAGUGGCUGCUUGGUUGGUUUGUCUGUUUGCUGCUUUGUUUAAAUGUUAAAUUAUCCUGCUAAAAGAAACAUAACAGCUUCUCAAGGCGAAUUUGCACUCUGUUUACCUAAACAUGAAGGACUUCAUUGUUUAGGAAAACCACCUGAGAUGGCGUCAAGAACUCAAACACCUCCUCAGAGUGUAACGAAGGAGUUAAAAUGAAGUUAUUGUCGGUUUUAAAAGGGAAGAAGCCCAGAAUGACUGUGAUCACUGCUACAUUUUUAACACUGUUGUUGAAAAAGUUCUUCUUUUGUGCUUCCAAAUGAAUCAUGUUAUUUGUUAAGACAAAUAAUCUGAGAUGCAUCCAAAUUGCCCGUUAAUCUUUACAUCUUCUAGCUCCAUCUUCAUGACUUAUAAAUGGUGCCAAUGUCUGAAUGAGACACGUGAUAUUGUGGACUAAUUAGGGGCCCCUUCUCACUGAUCCGAGCCAGAAUUACACAUGCGAGACCUCAGGUGCACCGCUCAGUUUAGGGGAUGGUGUCAGUGGUUUGUUCAGUUUCUCGUGUCAGAAGACUUUUUUGUAGAUGAUUUGAACCCUCGGACCGUUACAGGGAGUUUAUGGUCGAAAUCAGCUGCAGAAAGCACACAGGAAGAGAAGGAAACCAAGUCUUUCGCUAAAAAUGAACAGUGAGGGGAUUACCCAUUGCUAAUAAUGUUGUGACAGUAAAGUGGACUUAUUCUGCUUAUGCAAAGUUACUCUAAUUGAAUAGCUUUGCAUGAUUCACAGCUCAACAUACGCUCUGAUCCAACCCUGAAGUUCUGAGAUGUUUUAGCCCCUCCCCCUUUAAUCCAAUACAACUUUAUUUAACCCAACUUUCUUUUUGGCCUCAGUCACACAAACCGGCCACCAACCACCUGGCAACCUCCAGACGCUGGGGAAACAUGUCUAUUUCCUGAAUUCAUUGGGUUGCCUUAGGUUGAUGGCUGUUGUCAGUUGAAGUCAGUUGCAAAGAAACCCUGUCGAGAUGCUUUGGUCACUAGCUGCAGACUAAAAGCACAACUUUUAGUUUGGAGGCAUCGGUCUCUGUUACUGGUUUCUGUUUCAUUGUUUCACUAACCAAAGUAAAUGUGGACGGAGGAACAGUGACAUCAGCCUGGGUUUUGACUUUCAUUGACUUUAUGCAGUGUUUAAUUUUUAAAUGGAUUCAGUGGGACAGAAAUGCCAAAAAUGUGAUGUGUGGGUCUGCUAAGCUUGAUGGGAAUGUGGUCAUACUAGAAUCUACCCCAUCUCUGAGACUGGUUCCAACAGGCACAGUCCCGUCAUGGUAUUUGCUGUAAAAGAUUAUAAUCAGAGAUUUUAAAACGUGCUCUGUGGCAACAGUGGUUUGUAAUUACCCUGAUUCCACCGACACACCUGGACUUGGAGGAUAAACUGGGAAAAUGCUGGGAAAUGAAUUGUCCUGUACGUGGUUUAUUUAUUUUUAAACACCAAAGGGAAGUGAUCAUGUAGGAUGGAGGUUAAAGUGUGUAUUUAAUGUGGAAAAGGGAGAUUGUGCGUUUAAUCUGUUUGUUUACGUUUUUACUAAUGUGUGUGUGUGUUAGGAUUUAACCGAUUCUUGGUGGCUCACUCACUGCUGUUCCUGCUCACUCUGGGCUUCAUUGUCAGUGUACUGUAAACACUGCUGUGUGCUCUACCCAGCCGAACCUCUGCCGCGACUGCUAUUAAAAGGGAAUAUGUUUGAAUACUGA